AAAAUGUUGGAGGGAGAGAGAUGAAAGAGAAAGGGAUGAGAGGAAUGAAGGAGGUGAAUAAGGGUUUGGGUUUUUUUUAGUUUUGAGAAUGAAAAUUAUUUAAAUAUCCUUCACCUUAAAACUAAGAAUUCAUGAUAAACGAGGGUAUUUUUGUCUAUUAUAAUCUGGUACACAUUGUUAAAACGUACCAACUGAAAAACAGGCGUAAGCGUGUUAAC
rnacentral:lncRNA from 1 species